rnacentral:lncRNA from 1 species
AAAGGGAUUUUAGAGAGACAUAAUGCUAUCAGCUUCUGCUAUUCUACCGCUUUGAAGAUUCGCCCCUUACAAGGAAAUAAUUUGUCUUCUCUCCGAAUCCACGCGCUCUCUCUUCUAUACUCCCUCUGCUUCUUCCUCUUCUUCUAAAGCUCUUGUUUCUGCUCAAACUAACAAGAGACCUGAAUGUAAUUCUUGAUAUAAUCUCAUAACUUGAUACAAUUUUCCAUUUUUGAAAUGUACUUGAAUUCAAUGACUCAUGCACCUCUCUUUCCUCUAUUUUUUGUUUAUAUUUUCUUUUUCUUUUUUGGUUCCACUCUGUGCUAGGUGACCUUCAGACUUACUCUGCUUAUGGUUUGGCCUUAAAAACGAGCUUACCAGAUGUCGCUCUAUGGUGUGAUGUGCAAUUAGGGGUGGUAAUAGGUCAGACUUUGAAAGGUCUGAGUCUGGCAUACGGAUUUCAGUCGAUUUUUGUCGGGUGGUAUGAAAAUUCCCCGAAAAGUCCAGAUGAAAUCGAGGACCGCAAGUCCUUAUAUCAUUCUUCUCCUAAACUUAUAACUGUGUUUCGGGUUGUGCAUCAGAUUUCAAAGACUUUCCAUCGUCCUGUCCAAAAAUACAGAUAGCGGUCCAUUUUUGUCGGGUAAUCUCCCGAAGAGUCCAGAUGAAAUUGAGGACCAGGAGACUCUUAUAGCAUUGUUAUCCUAAAUUUAUAAUUGUGUUUCGGGUUUCAGGUUAGAUUUCAAAUACUAGGCAUCUUCUGGUCCGAAAAUAUAGAUUUAUGUCCGUUUUUGUUGGGUGGUAGAAAAAUUGCCCGAAAAGUCCAGAAGAAAUCGAGGAUCGGGACACCCAUAUAACAUUCUUCUCCUAAAUUUAUAACUGUAUUUCGGAAUCCGCGUCAGAUUUCAAACAGUUGCCAUCGCCUGGUCCGAAAAUACGGAUUUCAUUCCAUUUUUGUCUAGUGGUACGAAAAUCGUCCGAAAAGUCUAGACGAAAUUGAGGACCGAGAGACCCUUAUAGCAUUCUUCUCCUAUAUUUAUAAUUGUGUUUUGGGUUCCGCGUCAGAUUUCAAACAUUAGCUAUCGUCUGAUCCGAAAAUACGGAUUACUGUCCAUUUUUGUCGAGGCUACGAAAAUUGCCCUAAAAGUCUAGAUAACAUCGAGGAACGGGAGACCCUUAUAGUAUUCUUCUCCUAAAUUUAUAAUUGUGUUUCGAGUAAGAUUUCAUGAAAGUAAGAGAAGAUCAAAAAUAGCUAUGUUGUUUUUCUUCUUGAAUUCAAUACCUUAUAUAUACAGUGGUUUGGUUGCUUCAUCACUUCACCAUUAACCGCCAAACUUGUUGGGAUGUGUAAACCACACGCUCUCUCUGCAAUACUCCCUGCUUCUAAAUUCUCUCUUUCUAGCUCUUGUUUCUGCUCAAACUAACAAGAGAUAUGAUUGGAAUACACUUACCGGUAGGUGUUAUUUUUUUCUUCUUUUUUGUGAUUUUUUCUUCACUUGCUUAUUGCAUAUUUAAGUAGAAGAAGAAUGUUUAUGAUUAUCAUUAUGAUUAGCUAUGAAGUGGAGGGUCUAAGCUUAGUUUAUAAUUAAACUUUGAUUUGUUAAUUUGGGCUUAGAAGGGAUUUGGCUUCUCAUAAAUGUUGCUUAAUUAAAUGGUUUACCACUAUGUUGAGAUGUUUAUGAAUAGAUUUAGAUAUACGACUCUUCAAUGCAAUAUAAGCAUAAUGAAUAUAUGAAAAACUGAUGUAUUUGGACCUGAAUGUAAUUCUUGAUAUAAUCUCAUAACUUGAUACAAUUUUCCAUUUUUGAAAUGUACUUGAAUUCAAUGACUCGUGCACCUCUCUUUGCUCUAUUUUUUGUUUAUAUAUUCUUUUUCUUUUUUGGUUCCACUCUGUGCUAGGUGGCCUUCAGAC